rnacentral:rRNA from 1 species
UACAGAGGAGCCAAGCGUUGUCCGGAUUGACUGGGCGUAAAGCGCACGCAGGCGGUUGCGCGCGUGGGGUGUGAAAAUCUGGCCGCUUAACGGCCAGGCGCCAUCCCAUACGGCGCGACUGGAGGGCUGCAGAGGUCGAUGGAAUUGCCGGUGUAGUGGUGAAAUGCGCAGAUAUCGGGAGGAACACCGGUGGCGAAGGCGGUUCUCUGGGCCUGUACUGACGCUGAGGAGCGAAAGCGUGGGGAGCGAACAGG